ACAGUUGGAAACGACUGCUAAUGCCCUAUAUGCCUUUAAGACAUAAGUCUGCAAGGGAAAUGCUUUUGUGCUCGAGGAUGGGACUGUAUGGUAUCAGGUAGUUGGUGAGGUAAUGGCUCACCAAGCCAAUGACGCCUAACUGGUUUGAGAGGAUGAUCAGUCACACUGGAACUGAGACACGGUCCAGACUCCUACGGGAGGCAGCAGUGGGGAAUAUUGCACAAUGGAGGAAACUCUGAUGCAGCAACGCCGCGUGGAGGAUGACACUUUUCGGAGCGUAAACUCCUUUUAUAUAGGAAGAUAAUGACGGUACUAUAUGAAUAAGCACCGGCUAACUCCGUGCCAGCAGCCGCGGUAAUACGGAGGGUGCAAGCGUUACUCGGAAUCACUGGGCGUAAAGAGCGUGUAGGCGGAUUAAUAAGUCAGAUGUGAAAGCCAAUGGCUCAACCAUUGAACUGCAUUUGAAACUGUUAAUCUAGAAUAUGGGAGAGGUAGAUGGAAUUUCUGGUGUAGGGGUAAAAUCCGUAGAGAUCAGAAGGAAUACCGAUUGCGAAGGCGAUCUACUGGAACAUUAUUGACGCUGAGACGCGAAAGCG
rnacentral:rRNA from 1 species